GUAAAAAGAUCAGGAAAAGAUUGAAGCCAAACACGGUUUAGUACUGCAGUGGUCGAAGAUAUUUAAUCCCAACAAUUUAUCGAAUCUCAAAGAUUGUCGAAGGGCUUGUCCGCCCGAUUCUCCAACAAAGAGCGAACGCACCGUUGCGGAACCGUGACCGGCAGGGGCUUCUUGAGGUACGGGGAGUGGAGGAUGCCAAAGGAUAUCGCCGGAGGCGAACGCUUCUCCCAGUACUGUGGGUGAAUCAGGUGAAGGUCAAGUUCAUAUCAUCUAAGCAGAUACUUUCCACCCCUCAUAAACAUAUAGAAACAGAAUUUGUCAUACAAAAGAGAUCGUUUUCAUGACAAAUUCUAUUUCUAAACCAACUAAAGUAUGUGUAUGUGAACUGCAAACAGAUCCAUUAAGGAUGUUACUUAUUUUAGAUUCUUCUUGAACAUCCAAGGAAACAUUUUAAAUAUACUAUAUAUCUCAGAA